GAUGAAGAACGCAGCGAAAUGCGAUAAGUAAUGUGAAUUGCAGAAUUCAGUGAAUCAUCGAAUCUUUGAACGCACAUUGCGCCCCCUGGUAUUCCGGGGGGCAUGCCUGUCCGAGCGUCAUUGCAACCCUCAAGCUCAGCUUGGUGUUGGGCCCCGCCGCCCCGGCGGGCCCUAAAGUCAGUGGCGGUGCCGUCCGGCUCCGAGCGUAGUAAUUCUUCUCGCUCUGGAGGUCCGGUCGUGUGCUCGCCAGCAACCCCCAAUUUUUUUCGGGUUGACCUCGGAUCAGGUAGGGAUACCCGCUGAACUUAAGCAUAUCAAUAAGCGGAGGA
rnacentral:misc_RNA from 1 species